rnacentral:rRNA from 1 species
AACGAACGCUGGCGGCAGGCCUAACACAUGCAAGUCGAGCGCGCCUUUCGGGGUGAGCGGCGGACGGGUUAGUAACGCGUGGGAAUAUGCCCUUUGGUACGGAAUAGCCUCUGGAAACGGAGAGUAAUACCGUAUGAGCCCUUCGGGGGAAAGAUUUAUCGCCAAAAGGAUUAGCCCGCGUUAGAUUAGGUAGUUGGUGGGGUAAUGGCCUACCAAGCCUACGAUCUAUAGCUGGUUUUAGAGGAUGAUCAGCAACACUGGGACUGAGACACGGCCCAGACUCCUACGGGAGGCAGCAGUGGGGAAUCUUGGACAAUGGGGGCAACCCUGAUCCAGCCAUGCCGCGUGAGUGAUGAAGGCCUUAGGGUCGUAAAGCUCUGUUCUUGGGGAAGAUAACGACGGUACCCAAGGAGAAAGCACCGGCUAAAUACGUGCCAGCGCCG